UACGAACUGCGCAAACGUUAUUCGGAAUCACUUGUCUUACAGGGUGCGUAGGCGGCGGGGAAAGUAGGGUGUGAAAUGCCUUGGCUCAACCAAGGCACAGCGCUCUAAACUACCUCGCUCGAGUGAGUCAGGGGUACGCGGAACUUCCGGUGGAGCGGUGAAAUGUGUUGAUAUCGGAAGGAACACCGGAGGCGAAGGCGGCUCACUGGGAGUUUUCUGACGCUGAGGAACGAAAGCCAGGGUAGCGAACGGG
rnacentral:rRNA from 1 species